ACGUCGCAAGUCUCCAUCCUCCGAAGCCCCUCGCCCCAAUCCAGUAUUCCCCGUCUCCCUCCGGGUCUCCCGAGAAAAAUCGUCGCCGCCCAUCUGCCCCAUGGCCGCGGACAAAGCACUCUGCCAAUGCCAUCGGCGCUGCUUCAAUGGGCUUGUACUCUGACUUAGAUCACGAGUUUGAUGAGGGCCUCAACCUGGUCCGCCAUUCCUGUAUCAUCACGGGUGACGCUGUUGUGCACAGCUCUCCUCCUACCUUGAUGCCGCUGGGAUCCACAACCCACCGGAAAGGAGUAGCGGCGCCCUCACAGGUUGGACCACUCCCGGAUCCGUCGCCGCCUGCACAGCCAGGACGGGCCGACCACCGAGGGCAUCUUCCUCCACCACUUGUGAUGAGUGGCCGAGCCAUGGAGCGGAGGCGGCGGGGAGUAUUGAUUAUAUUGGAAGGCCAAGGGAUUAUUUCUGCACGAGGAUGUAUUUGGGAGAGAUUUUGAGUGGCUGCUACUACUGGAUGCAAUUGUUGGAAUUGUCAGAUAUUGAAGGAGUCUCAACAUUGAUGGUUAGUUCCUGCCGAGAUUUGUGAAAUACUUAAGAACUACAAGAAUUUUCAUACAGCUCCGGUUUAGGCAAACGGAUGGAGUACUUUGCUUUUGCAUCAUAUGUUUUUAAUGGCUUGGAGUUCAUCCUCCGCCACACUAACGACGACCCAAUGCCAUGGUGGUGGAGACCACAACAGAUGUCAAGGCAGAGGAGAGUGUUUACAUUUUUUUCCUGGCAGUGAGUGUUUACACAAUCUAGACAUGUCUAUGAUGCUGGCUCCAGCCAGAUUUGGGGACUAUUAACCAAAAUAUUGAUCGCAACAAAUUAGUCUGGAUAAUAAAUUAUGUAUUUAGCUUCUCUAUAAGCGGCACCAGUGAGAAUGUGCAUGCGCUAGACAAUUCAAUUUUAAUGAAUGCAUGCAAACUGAAUUAUGUAUUAGUUUGAGCACGUCAUUGAAAAGAUGGUUCUUCUCUA